rnacentral:lncRNA from 1 species
CCUCAAUAUGGUGGCUUUGAAACAGCAGAUUUGCACUCGAAUUUUCAUAAUUAUACCGUAGGGAACAGAGAAAGUUGAUGAUGAAAAUGAUGAAGUUACUAAUGACAGCAAGAUAACAGAGAGGAUUUCAACGAGAACUUUGCUGAGAAACAUUGAAUUGACAUCAAAAAGUGUUGAUAGAAAAAUGUGUUUCAUUUACCCAAAACAUUCCCAGAGACUCAAACUAUAUUGAGGUACGUUAUUCCGCUUGUCAUCCUGCCCCUCCCCCACCUCCUCUGGUUUCUCGUACAGCUAUGUGUUUGGCACCAAUACAACAAGUUUAGGACACACAAAUGAUAAAAUAGUAUCAUUUAUUCUAAAAGUAUUGAGACACUGCGUUCAAUAUUCAAUGGAAUGACAUCAAAUGAAAGCAAACUAAGGAAACAACUUGAAACAAAAAUACAUAAAAUUGAAGAGGAGAAAGGAGGAGAGAGAGGAGGAGGAGGAGCUAAAGAUUUGAACUUAUUGAGUGCUAACUUAGAAGCAGAUACAUUUAAAGCUAAGCUUGAGCAUAAACUGAUUGAGUUGAUGGCAGAAAGACAAUUAUUGGAAGAUUCUACUUCUAUUUCAAAGGUCUAGAAUUAUUCACUUAAGGGGGUCAGAGUAUAUUCCUAGUCCUUUCAAUGAGGAAGUUACAGUCUCUAAUCUACAUGUAUGACAAGUUAACAAGGGUAAAGGGCGUCUCUCUAUAGACCCUGACCUGACAGAAAUGACAGACUGGAGAAAUACUCACUUUGCUUCAUUUGAUCUGGAAUUAUUCACUUGAGGGGGUCAGAGUAUAUUUAUAGUCCUUUUUAAGUGGAAGUUACAGUCUCUAAUCUAUGACAAGUUGACGAGGGUGAAGAUGUCUCUCUACAGACCCUAACCUGAUAUAGAAAGGACAGACUGGAGAAAUACUCACAUUCCUUCAUUUAGAUGUCAUGAUAAGAAGAUUAGAAAGAGAAUGAAAUAAAAAUUUAAAAGAACAAAAAUCAACUUAUACAAAACAACUUGAAACUUACCACAAAACAAUUGAAGAAUAAAAAAUGAAAGUAUCAUUAUUCACACAAAUUAACAGCAGAAGCACUGUGGAGAAAAGUAAAGAGCAUUUGUGAAUAUAAUUUAAUCAUUA